rnacentral:rRNA from 1 species
UACGUAGGUGGCAAGCGUUAUCCGGAUUUACUGGGUGUAAAGGGCGUGUAGGCGGGGACGCAAGUCAGAUGUGAAAACCACGGGCUCAACCUGUGGCCUGCAUUUGAAACUGUGUUUCUUGAGUACUGGAGAGGCAGACGGAAUUCCUAGUGUAGCGGUGAAAUGCGUAGAUAUUAGGAGGAACACCAGUGGCGAAGGCGGUCUGCUAGACAGCAACUGACGCUGAGGCGCGAAAGCGUGGGGAGCAAACAGG